CUCAAUCCCCAAUCCGGUAUGCGCAAUCCCUAGUUCCCCUCUUCCUUCUCCCCUGUUCGCCGCCAUGGCCGCCAGAUGAGUCUCGUCCUCCUCUGUUCUGUAGUUCCUCCCUUUCCCUGUGUGUCUCCAUGGCCGCCCCACCUACGUAAUUCCUCCUCCCUCGAUCCCCCAUUCUCCAGCGCCCUGGACGAGGACCGCCCUCGUCAUGGCUCAAUGGAGCAGCGGCUGCUUGUCUUGGAGUUCCUGUUUGACUCGUCGUCUAGCCGUAGCGGGCCGCCGAUCCCCUAUAGUUCUUGUUCAUCUCUUCCUGUUCUUCAGGCUCUAAGCACCAAACUUGCAGGAGGCACUACAUUUGCGAACGAUGACACCAGGAAUGAACAACUUCAUCAUCUUAUAAGAGCAUUGGAGCAAGAGAGAGCAAUGCACAAGAAAGAGCAAGAUAGAUCAAUGUUGCAGUUGCAUUGGAGAUUGUCAGCUGUAUAUGAAGAUAUGAAAGUGAAGAAAAAAAAGGGACAUGUGCCUUUAUCAUGAUAUUGUGGGUUGUUUCUUUAGUUUUAGAUUUUGUUGCUGGUAUGGUCGUCUCAGUCUAGUUGAGAAGAGAGAAUUCAGAUAAUGCAAUUUUUUAAGGGAAUGUACUUGUAGCUCUGCAAUCUAUUGCAUACGCAAAGAUAUAUGUAAUCUGAAAGCAAGCUUUUCUUGCUGUCAUGAAUGAAAGCUUUUAUUAACUGAAA
rnacentral:rRNA from 1 species